rnacentral:rRNA from 1 species
AGUAACGCGUGGGUAACCUGCCUCAUACAGGGGGAUAACAGUUAGAAAUGACUGCUAAUACCGCAUAAGCACACAGUGCUGCAUGGCACAGUGUGAAAAACUCCGGUGGUAUGAGAUGGACCCGCGUCUGAUUAGCUAGUUGGUGGGGUAACGGCCUACCAAGGCGACGAUCAGUAGCCGGCCUGAGAGGGUGAACGGCCACAUUGGGACUGAGACACGGCCCAAACUCCUACGGGAGGCAGCAUG